rnacentral:rRNA from 1 species
UACGUAGGGUGCAAGCGUUGUCCGGAUUUAUUGGGCGUAAAGAGCUCGUAGGCGGUCUGUAGCGUCGGAUGUGAAAACCCAGGGCUCAACCCUGGGCCUGCAUUCGAUACGGGCAGACUAGAGUGUGGCAGGGGAGACUGGAAUUCCUGGUGUAGCGGUGAAAUGCGCAGAUAUCAGGAGGAACACCGGUGGCGAAGGCGGGUCUCUGGGCCAAUACUGACGCUGAGGAGCGAAAGCGUGGGGAGCGAACAGG